AGAGUUUGAUUAUGGCUCAGAAUGAACGUUGGCGGCGUGGAUUAGGCAUGCAAGUCGAGCGAGGAAACAGAUAGCAAUAUUUGUUAUUCGAGCGGCGUAAGGGGCAGUAAUACCUGGGAACGUACCCUGAGGUCGGGGAUAGCUGCUAGAAAUGGCGAGUAAUACCCGAUGAUCUCGAGAGAGCAAAGGCUUGCCGCCUUCGGAGCGGCCCAGGCGAUAUUAGCUAGUUGGUGAGGUAAUGGCUUACCAAGGCAAAGAUGUCUAGCGGGUGUGAGAGCACGACCCGCGCCACUGGCACUGAGACACUGGCCAGACACCUACGGGUGGCUGCAGUCGAGAAUCUUCGGCAAUGAGCGCAAGCUUGACCGAGCGACGCCGCGUGCGGGAUGAAGGCCUUCGGGUUGUAAACCGCUUUGGUCCGAGAGAAAGGGUAAAACUUGAUCGAUCGGAGAAACAAGGACGGGCUAAGUUCGUGCCAGCCGCCGCGGUAA
rnacentral:rRNA from 1 species